CAGCAGCCGCGGGAAUACGUAGGGUGCAAGCGUUGUCCGGAAUUAUUGGGCGUAAAGAGCUCGUAGGCGGUUUGUCGCGUCUGCUGUGAAAUCCCGAGGCUCAACCUCGGGCUUGCAGUGGGUACGGGCAGACUAGAGUGCGGUAGGGGAGAUUGGAAUUCCUGGUGUAGCGGUGGAAUGCGCAGAUAUCAGGAGGAACACCGAUGGCGAAGGCAGAUCUCUGGGCCGUAACUGACGCUGAGGAGCGAAAGCGUGGGGAGCGAACAGGAUUAGAUACCCGUGUAGUCCCUGUCUCUUAUAA
rnacentral:rRNA from 1 species